UCAACUAUUUGCAGAAUUAAGCUCCUCAAAUCACCCUCAUUUAGGAUUUAAUUUUAUUUUGGAGAUGUGUGCUUUACUCAUGUGUUUCAAGAGAUCCAUGAUUUAUAAAGUACUUUUAACACAUUUCGUGCACUUACAUAGGAAUGUGGCUGCCAGAGACCUGGUGCUUCCUGGGGAUAGCUGGCAUAGAUUUGCACCACAGCAGUCAUAUUAAAUUAAAGCUCUUGCUUCUAUUGAGCCAAACUGGAGUUUAGACUCUCCUUCAGCAUGAUGUUCCAGGUGGUACUGUGAAGUCCGUGAGAUGGCAUCCAUCUGUGAACUAGACUUUGCUUUGGCUCAGUUGAGUGUGUUACUGUUUCAGUGUUCAUCUAAAUGAAUUAUUAUAUGACUAAAAUAUUAUAAAUACAAGAAAUGGAGCAUGUAAUCACCAUAAACUUUUAAAAUCUCAUAAUAAAUGUAUAAGCCCUUCAUCAGUGACUUCCUUCUCUUUUUCUCACAUUAAAACAGUACCUUGACUA